CCUACGGGAUGCAGCAGUGAGGAAUAUUGGUCAAUGGGCGCGAGCCUGAACCAGCCAAGUAGCGUGAAGGAUGCCUGCCCUACGGGUUGUACACUUCUUUUAUAAAGGAAUAAAGUGAGGCACGGGUGCCUUUUUGUAUGGACUUGAUGAAUAAGGAUCGGCUAACUCCGUGCCAGCAGCCGCGGUAAUACGGAGGAUCCGAGCUUUAUCCGGAUUUAUUGGGUUUAAAGGGAGCGUAGAUGGGUUGUUAAGUCAGUUGUGAAAGUUUGCGGCUCAACCGUAAAAUUGCAAUUGAAACUGGCAGUCUUGAGUACAGUUGAGGUAGGCGGAAUUCGUGGUGUAGCGGUGAAAUGCUUAGAUAUCACGAAGAACUCCGAUUGCGAAGGCAGCUUACUAAACUGCCACUGACAUUGAUGCUCGACAGUGUGGGUAUCAAACAGGAUUAGAUACCCUGGUAGUC
rnacentral:rRNA from 1 species